rnacentral:lncRNA from 1 species
UAUGGAGGUUAAUCUUUUCAAAUAUAGCAGCCAGCAAUAGUCAAAGAGAAUAUAGUCUAGCUAAAGGCAAGAAUCAGUAAGAGAUUCUUUGGUCGAAGAUGAUGCUGGGGUCAGGAUCUUUCAUGGAUCAAUGUCCGAUGUUUGGGUGUCAUCCUGAUAUCUGUGGCCAAAGAUCCAUGAUCGAAGCUAAAAUCGACAGCUAAAGUCUAGAUUAGC